rnacentral:rRNA from 1 species
AGGCAGGCUCUUGGGUUGUAAACCUCUUUUCUCAGGGAAGAACAAAAUGACGGUACCUGAGGAAUAAGCAUCGGCUAACUCCGUGCCAGCAGCCGCGGUAAUACGGAGGAUGCAAGCGUUAUCCGGAAUGAUUGGGCGUAAAGCGUCCGCAGGUGGCAUUGAAAGUCUGCUGUUAAAGAGUCUGGCUCAACCAGAUAAAGGCAGUGGAAACUACAAAGCUAGAGUACGUUCGGGGCAGAGGGAAUUCCUGGUGUAGCGGUGAAAUGCGUAGAGAUCAGGAAGAACACCGGUGGCGAAGGCGCUCUGCUAGGCCGUAACUGACACUGAGGGACGAAAGCUAGGGGAGCGAAUGGAAUUAGAUA